rnacentral:rRNA from 1 species
UACGUAGGGGGGCAAGCGUUGUCCGGAUUUAUUGGGCGUAAAGAGCGUGUAGGCGGCCUGACAGGUCUGCUGUGAAAACUCGAGGCUCAACCUCGAGAUGUCGGCGGAAACCGUCUGGCUAGAGUCCGGAAGAGGAGAGUGGAAUUCCUGGUGUAGCGGUGAAAUGCGCAGAUAUCAGGAGGAACACCAAUGGCGAAGGCAGCUCGCUGGGACGGUACUGACGCUGAGACGCGAAAGCGUGGGGGAGCAAACAGG